GACGAACGCUGGCGGCGUGCUUAACACAUGCAAGUCGAACGGAAAGGCCCUGCUUUUGUGGGGUGCUCGAGUGGCGAACGGGUGAGUAACACGUGAGUAACCUGCCCUUGACUUUGGGAUAACUUCAGGAAACUGGGGCUAAUACGGGAUAGGAGCUCCUGCUGCAUGGUGGGGGUUGGAAAGUUUCGGCGGUUGGGGAUGGACUCGCGGCUUAUCAGCUUGUUGGUGGGGUAGUGGCUUACCAAGGCUUUGACGGGUAGCCGGCCUGAGAGGGUGACCGGCCACAUGGGGACUGAGAUACGGCCCAGACUCCUACGGGAGGCAGAAGUGGGGAAUAUUGCACAAUGGGCGGAAGCCUGAUGCAGCAACGCCGCGGGCGGGAUGACGGCCUUCGGGUUGUAAACCGCUUUCGCCUGUGACGAAGCGUGAGUGACGGUAAUGGGUAAAGAAGCACCGGCUAACUACGUG
rnacentral:rRNA from 1 species